CUGAGGUUAUGGGUCGGUGUGUGUUACUGCCCAACAUCAGCGUUGGGAAUCCCUCCUCUUAAGUGAUUCAGUUGGAACUCAGGAUUUCCACCUUUUGAGUUAUGAAUCUCCACCUGAGGAACGCACAGUAGCUAUUAGCUCAUGAGUAGUCUGCUUCCAUCCCUCCGUGGGAAAUUCGUCUUUCUCCUUCUCUGUCAAUAACAAAAGUCAGGCAGAGGGAACUCGCCUCCCCCAGCAUACACACAAAGCUGUGGCUGUGAGAAAAGGGAGAACUCACUGUACAGUGGAUACCAUGAGGAUCUGGACCAGCUCUUACCGCCAGCUUACACUGACCCCAAUUGUUUAUUUAGUCUACUUCUCUACACUUAAACCAGAACACAACGUCAUGGUGGAUUUAUGUUAAAUCACAAAAUAAGGUAAGGUAAAG
rnacentral:lncRNA from 1 species